CUGUCUCUGCUUCCCUUUCUCCUUCCAGCCACCUGCUCCCCUCCAACUGGCCGGACCUCCCUGACCAAAAUGACCCGGUGGCUCCGCCCCCUGGCCUUAGCGACCCAAGCCCCGCCCCUUCUCUGACCUUAGCGACCCGGCCGGCCCCGCCCCUCGGCGUCGCUGUUUCCUUCCUUGAGGUAAACAGACUGAACCGAGCCCGGCGAGGAGGACGAGGACCCGAAGCCCCUUCGGAGCCGCAGGAGGCGGAACCUGAGGAGCCUCUCGCUCCGUGGGCCCCCGGGUCUUGGUCGCCUCUCCCAUGGCUGCCAUCGGGGGACGCAGACGGAACCUCGGUUCCGCCGCCGAGGACCUUCCCGGAGCGCCUUCCACCCCCGCGCGCUGCCAGAGCAAACUGAUCAAACAAAUAGAUUUGGAUAUUUAUGAAAGCAGACAGAGCUGUUUGCACAUUUCAUUCAGCCUGCUACUCAGAAGACUGCAACCUCACCUUUGAAAAAGAAACCAGAGUGCCCAAGAAUAAAUCGGAUGAGAAAAAGAACUUGCUCUCAGUUGAUGAGUCAAGGCAGAGGUUACCAUCACAGAGAAGUACAAUAAUCCAAGCUUGAACUUGGUUAUGACUGGGCUGAGCUUUCAUCUUCAAAACCACAUCCGUAAACUGAAGAUACGACUUUUACUGAAGUCUAUGCUCGUGUGGGUGACAUUGUGAUGACCUAUUCCACAUCAGUUACCAACACUGUAGAACAAACAGAGCAAGAAGAGGAUGAAGAAGUACUCAUAGAAAGCUCUAAAGGAACCAGUGUUUACUCCUGAUUUAGAGACUCUCCAUCACAAUCCCUUGGAUGGUUCCCAUAUAUAGUUUGGAUAGUUGGGUAGCUCUGAUAAAACCCAGCGCUGCCAUAUAUUUGAAUACUUUCCGAGAGUGCUGUGAAGCAUAUGUUAUCUAUAAUUUCAUGAUCAUCCUGAACAACUACCUAACUAGUCAAUAUCCAGAUGUGAUAGCAGUCCUUGAAUCAAAAGAACAACAAAAACAUAUCCUUCCUUUUUGCUGUUUUCCACCAUGGGAGAUGGGCGAGUAAGUAUGAUUGAUUUUAAUUCUUUUCUGUUUAGUUUUAUUUAAGCAGUUCUUAGGUAUCAUUCAGUUUAUGGCAAGGCAGUGUAUUAAGUACCAUGAGCAAGGCAAAUGAAAUAAGACUGAGCCCCUGCCUGGUGAAGUUCAUAGUUUGAAGAGGAACGAAAUACAUUUUUAUAACCCACAUAUCAUGUUUUUUAUAUUGUUCACCCAAACAUAAAAGCUCUACAAUGCACUGCAGAAGAAAACCUUAGACAUAUGUAACAGAUAUCCUUUUACAAUUGGGGCUCAAGAUCGGCAGAUGUUAUGCAUGUUCACACACUAGUUAGAAGACUUGGGGAGAAAAUAAUCUAGGUAGAAAAGCAGCAGAUGACAUGAAACAGGAGUAACAAAUAGCAAUGUUUAUUCUAGUAACAUAUUUAGUUUUCCCUGUUACAUGUUCAUGCUGAUAGUAAAGAAAAAUUAAGCCUGAGUUAUUUAAACCUUUUAUUUUGAAAUGUAAAUUGAGGAUAAGAUUGCAUUUAUAACACAAAGGAACCAUCAGAUAUGUUUCAGCUAGGAAAUAUUUGAAAACAGCAUUUAAGAAAGAUUAAUUUUGCAGCACUAUAAAAAUACACUGGAGAGUUGAUGACACAAGAUGUGGGGAAAUACAUUAGGAUGUUAUCAUAACUCAUUUGUGAAAUAAACUGAACAAAGGAAUGAAAUUGGAAUAGAAACGAAAGACAGUGACCACUGAUAGAUGGGGAAUGGGGGAAGUUGUAGGCUAAGGAAGAUGAACGAUGUAGAGGUGUAGUAUGAAGUUAGACAUAAAUGUGGGUAGGGCUGCAUUGCUUCCUCCUUGGUAUAGAACCAUUUGGACAUCAUUCUUCAUAUUGCCUGUUCUCAUCCUUUCAAAUGAGAAGAAAUUAUGAAAUUACUUGGCUUUUUAACAAUAAUAAGCUGCUAAUGUGUUCAUUCAACAGAAAUCUACUGAUGCCCUAAUAUGUGCCAGUAUAUAGGCAUAGCGUAACACACAAAACAGACAGGGAACUUACAGUUUGAUUAGGAGGGUUAGAAGUUAAUAAAUGCAUAAAUAGCUACAUAUUUCAAGAAGUGCCAUGAAAGAAAGAGAGCAAGAGAGCAUGAGAGAACAAAGUAAGGAUGAAUUCUAUAGAUUUGGAAUCAGAAGGUGAUACUCUGCUGGCAGUACUGUGCUCAGUUCCAAAUACAACAAGGGCACGUGGGGAUUUGCAGUUCAAAAAGUAGAUUGAAGGGUCAGUAGAUAUAAAAUGACUAAAAGGAGACAUGAAAAAAGGAAUCUUGCUGAAUUGACUAACAGGAUUCUUGGUGUAAAAGCCAACAGGAUUUUUGGCAUAGACAUCCAGAGAGAGGGUGACAGACUUGAUUUGUGCAGGGGCGCCCGUGUCAAGGGGAGGGGGAGUGACUCAGGAUUCUCGGUGUAGAUCGGCUUUAAGCAGAAGAGCGAAGGAGAUGUCCUCAAGAACAGGACUCAUUUGUAAGCGCAAGGACCUGAGUUCAAUCCCAAGUACCAAAAAAAUAAAAAAAAAAAGAAGAAGGCUCGAAAGAACUUGUGUUAAGUGUGGCCGUUAAAAACCCAUCAAAAGAGAAACCAUUAUAGGAUGAUAUAAAAAGAACUGGUGUCCAGAGUUCAUUUUCAAUAAUUAAUUAUGUGUUUUGUCUGGACUAAAUUGGAAGCAGGCAAAGAUAUGUAAACUGGGAGAAAUAAGAAAUUGCAGCAGCCUAGCAUAUAGGAUGGUGGUGGUGAAAACCUGGCUUUGAUCAGAUCUGUAAAAUCUGAAAAUUUAAAAAGCUCUAGCUGCCUCUCCAGACUCGCUCUUAAUUGGCUGGGGGUCAACUAAAACCCCAAAUCUUUUAUAAAUAAUUCUGGUCAAAAUUCUCAUAUUCUGUGCCUGGGCACGUGAUUUGUUCCUAACUACAUGUUACUUGCAUUCUUGUUGAAUCUCUGUGGCUUGGAUUCAUUUUUAACUGAGCCUUUUGAAUUUUGACAGCUAAUUUAAUUAUUUGACACAGCGGUGUACCCAUAAUAUAACAGGGGUUUUCUUGCAUUUGAAAAAGCAUUAAAUUUUUACCAAAAUUAUACAAUGUGGGGGUGUGGUUUUAGUAGUAAUAAAAUUUCAUUCUGCUGUGGAUCAAUACAUUCUUAGGUUAGUCAUCUCCCUCUAAUAGAUAACUAGUAUUUUAUAUUUGGUAAUUAAU